rnacentral:rRNA from 1 species
UGGGGAAUCUUGCACAAUGGGCGAAAGCCUGAUGCAGCAACGCCGCGUGCGGGAAGACAGCCCUAGGGUUGUAAACCGCUUUCAGCAGGGAAGAAACUGACGGUACCUGCAGAAGAAGAUGCGGCCAACUACGUGCCAGCAGCCGCGGUGACACGUAGGCAUCAAGCGUUAUCCGGAUUUAUUGGGCGUAAAGAGCUCGUAGGCGGUUCGGUAAGUCGGGUGUGAAAACUCUGGGCUCAACCCAGAGAGGCCACUCGAUACUGCUGUGACUAGAGUGCGGUAGGGGAGCGGGGAAUUCCUGGUGUAGCGGUGAAAUGCGCAGAUAUCAGGAGGAACACCAGUGGCGAAGGCGCCGCUCUGGGCCGUAACUGACGCUGAGGAGCAGAAAGCAUGGGUAGCAAACAGGAUUAGAUACCCUGGUAGUCCACGCCGUAAACGAUGAGUGCUAGUCGUCGGCAGGCAUGCCUGUCGGUGACGCAGCUAACGCAUUAAGCACUCCGCCUGGGA